rnacentral:ncRNA from 2 species
UCCUCAUAAAGAGAGGCGGAGGGACUGGCCCGAUGAACCCUCGGCAACCGGCCGCGCGGCUUGGUGCCAAAUCCAGAGAACAGUCACUGUUCGAAUAUGAGGA